AGCGAACGCUGGCGGCAGGCCUAACACAUGCAAGUCGAACGAACCUUUCGGGGUUAGUGGCGGACGGGUGAGUAACACGUGGGAACGUGCCUUUAGGUUCGGAAUAACUCAGGGAAACUUGUGCUAAUACCGAAUGUGCCCUUCGGGGGAAAGAUCUAUCGCCUUUAGAGCGGCCCGCGUCUGAUUAGCUAGUUGGUUGAGGUAAUGGCUCACCAAGGCGACGAUCAGUAGCUGGUCUGAGAGGAUGAUCAGCCACAUUGGGACUGAGACACGGCCCAAACUCCUACGGGAGGCAGCAGUGGGGAAUCUUGCGCAAUGUGCGAAAGCCUGACGCAGCCAUGCCGCGUGAAUGAUGAAGGUCUUAGGAUUGUAAAAUUCUUUCACCGGGGACGAUAAUGACGGUACCCGGAGAAGAAGCCCCGGCUAACUUCGUG
rnacentral:rRNA from 1 species